CCUACGGGUGGCAGCAGUGGGGAAUCUUCCACAAUGGGGGAAACCCUGAUGCAGCGACGCCGCGUGAGUGAAGAAGUAUUUCGUUUCGUAAAGCUCUAUUAGCAGAGAAGAACAUGGAGGUAACUAAGUAAGAAGCCCCGGCUAACUACGUGCCAGCAGCCGAGGUAAUACGUAGGGGGAAAGCGUUAUCCGGAUUUACUGGGUGUAAAGGGAGCGUAGACGGUGCGGCAAGUCUGGAGUGAAAUGCCGCGGCUUAACUGCGGAAGUGCUUUGGAAACUGGCGAACUUGAGUGCGGGAGAGGUAAGUGGAAUUCCUAGUGUAGCGGUGAAAUGCGUAGAUAUUAGGAGGAACACCAGUGGCGAAGGCGGCUUUCUGGACCGUAACUGACGCUGAGGCUCGAAAGCGUGGGGAGCAAACAGGAUUAGAUACCCUAGUAGUC
rnacentral:rRNA from 1 species